UACGAAGGGGGCUAGCGUUGCUCGGAAUCACUGGGCGUAAAGGGUGCGUAGGCGGGUCUUUAAGUCAGGGGUGAAAUCCUGGAGCUCAACUCCAGAACUGCCUUUGAUACUGAAGAUCUUGAGUUCGGGAGAGGUGAGUGGAACUGCGAGUGUAGAGGUGAAAUUCGUAGAUAUUCGCAAGAACACCAGUGGCGAAGGCGGCUCACUGGCCCGAUACUGACGCUGAGGCACGAAAGCGUGGGGAGCAAACAGGAUUAAAAA
rnacentral:rRNA from 1 species